AGAGAUGUGGAGGAAUACCGAUGGCGAAGGCAGCCUCCUGGGAUAACACUGACGUUCAUGCUCGAAAGCGUGGGUAGCAAACAGGAUUAGAUACCCUGGUAGUCCACGCCCUAAACGAUGUCAAUUAGCUGUUGGGCAACUUGAUUGCUUAGUAGCGUAGCUAACGCGUGAAAUUGACCGCCUGGGGAGUACGGUCGCAAGAUUAAAACUCAAAGGAAUUGACGGGGACCCGCACAAGCGGUGGAUGAUGUGGAUUAAUUCGAUGCAACGCGAAGAACCUUACCUGGUCUUGACAUGUACGGAAUCCUCCAGAGACGGAGGAGUGCCUUCGGGAGCCGUAACACAGGUGCUGCAUGGCUGUCGUCAGCUCGUGUCGUGAGAUGUUGGGUUAAGUCCCGCAACGAGCGCAACCCUUGUCAUUAGUUGCCAUCAUUUAGUUGGGCACUCUAAUGAGACUGCCGGUGACAAGCCGGAGGAAGGUGGGGAUGACGUCAAGUCCUCAUGGCCCUUAUGACCAGGGCUUCACACGUCAUACAAUGGUCGGUACAGAGGGUAGCCAAGCCGCGAGGUGGAGCCAAUCUCAAAACCGAUCGUAGUCCGGAUUGCACUCUGCAACUCGAGUGCAUGAAGUCGGAAUCGCUAGUAAUCGCAGGUCAGCAUACUGCGGUGAAUACGUUCCCGGGUCUUGUACACACCGCCCGUCACACCAUGGGAGUGGGGGAUACCAGAAGUAGGUAGGGUAACCGCAAGGAGUCCGCUUACCACGGUAUGCUUCAUGACUGGGGUGAAGUCGUAACAAGGUAGCCGUAGGGGAACCUGCGGCUGGAUCACCU
rnacentral:rRNA from 1 species